GAGAGAGAGACCUUUUAAAUGUUCCUUAAACCUCUCUCUCUCUCUCUCUCUCUAUAUAUAUAUAUAUAUAGAGAGAGAGAGAGAGAGAGAGAGAGAGAGAGAGAGAGAGAGAGAGAGGUUUAAGGAACAUUUAAAGGUUUGUUUGA